UGUGCCAGCUACGCCUAUUGGACCAAAUUACGAAUGUGGUAGAAAACUAUUAGCAGAAGAGAGUCUAAUGUCUGGCAAAGAUCUGGAAUGUACAUUCCACUUGAGUGAAUCCAUUUCCUCUACUCUGAGAACCUUGGCUGUUUAUAGAGAAGAUCAAUUAGAAGCUGCUGAUAAUAAAUUGCACAAAAUAACAAGUUUCAUAAAACCUGUACAGCAACUGGUUGAUUCAAAUUCUAU